UAGUUUAUCAGAUGUAUACCUGCAGGUGU
rnacentral:piRNA from 1 species